rnacentral:misc_RNA from 1 species
GAACUGCGAUAAGUAAUGUGAAUUGCAGAAUUCAGUGAAUCAUCGAGUCUUUGAACGCACAUUGCGCCCCCUGGCAUUCCGGGGGGCAUGCCUGUCCGAGCGUCAUUGCUGCCCUUCAAGCCCGGCUUGUGUGUUGGGUCGUCGUCCCCUCCGGGGGACGGGCCCGAAAGGCAGCGGCGGCACCGCGUCCGGUCCUCGAGCGUAUGGGGCUUUGUCACCCGCUCGAUAAGGACCGGCCGGGCGCCAGCCGGCGUCUCCAACCUUUUUUUCUCAGGUUGACCUCGGAUCAGGUAGGGAUACCCGCCGAACUUAAGC